GGGGUCGUAGCUCAAAUGGUAGAGCGCCCGCUUAGCAAGGCUAAGCGCCCGUAAUAUGCGGGAGGUAGGGGGAUCGAUGCCCUCCGACUCCA
rfam:Gonium pectorale scaffold00063, whole genome shotgun sequence.